GAUGAACGCUGGCGGUGUGCUUAACACAUGCAAGUCGAGCGAGAAGUCAUGAAAAGCUUCCUCGGACGAAAUGUAAAAUGGAAACCGGCGGACGGGAGAGUAACGCGUAGGCAACCUGCCCCAUACAAAGGGAUAGCAUUAGGAAACGAACACUAAUACCCUAUGAAACUUAACUAGUGCAUGCUAGGUAUGUCACAAAUUUAUAGGUAUGUGAUGGGUGUGCGUCUGAUUAGCUAGAUGGCGAGGUAAAGGCGCACCAAGGCGACGAUCAGUAGCCGGGCAGGGAGGAGGCGCGGCAAACUUGGACGUGAGGCACGAGUGAGACUCCUACGGCAAGGGGCGGAAGGGGAAUUUGCACAAUCGGGGAGACCCUGAUAGGGCAACGCGGCGUGAAGGCUGUUGGCCGGGGAAGAAUAAAGUUCUGUUAAAGGGGAUCAAAGCUGACGGUACCCUAAGAGAAAGCACCGGCUAACUCCGUG
rnacentral:rRNA from 1 species